AAAGUCGUAACAAGGUUUCCGUAGGUGAACCUGCGGAAGGAUCAUUACUGAUUUGGCGGACCGAGCGUCAGCGAGGUUCCGCGAUCACCUAUAUUUAAAACCCACACCUUGAAUUAUAUAUUUUUUGUAUUUUUUUAAAUGAUAAAAUAAAAAAAGAUCACUUUCAACAACGGAUCUCUUGGCUCUC
rnacentral:misc_RNA from 1 species